rnacentral:misc_RNA from 1 species
ACCACUUUAUCUCGUCAGUGUGUUGGAAGAGCGAAGUAGGAUGGUGCAGUGAGUCAAUGUGCUGGUUAUAUCGCUGUGGCAUCAACUCUCAGCGUGAGAUUGACAGUAUUGCGUAUCACAGAGAAGAGCUAUUUUCGUGGCUGGCUUCAUGCUGACCACGGUGAGUGGGGCUUAGGACAAUGAAGAGGAAGCUUUUAUUCCCUCUGCUACUGCUGUGUUGCCAAGUUCCAGCAGUGUGGAGCAUCAGACCACCACAAAUUGACAGUGAAGAAAUACUAAAUGUGGAGGAGGAUAGUGACCUGAUCCUGCACUGCCGAGGCUCCAAGGCAGUGAAGUGGAACACUACUGAUCAAAUGCAUGUUACAAAUACAGUACAAGAGGGUGCAGAUUUGCCUCAUCUCUCCACUCUUAAAAUAGAAGGGGUAUUCCCCUAUGAUGCUGGAUAUUACCAUUGCCACUACAAAAACUCCACCAAUGACAAGGAAAGUGUGGCCUCUGUCUAUUUGUUUGUAAAUGGACAAGAGCAGACAUUUUUACACCAUCACCUGAGCCCUGAACUACCUCAUCCUGUUGGAAAAACUCUGCACAUUGAUUGUGCUGUCACUAAUCGUAACUACAAUGUCACCCUGAAGAUAAAUGGCAGAGAUGUUACCAAAGAGGACCGAGUGAAGUAUGACCCUAGAGAAGGAUUUUCAAUAGAAAAUGUUACAAUGGAAGAUGAAGGAUUAUACGUAUGUGAGAGUGGAGAAAAGAUGCAGGGAGUAAGAAUUACUAUCAGCAAUGUCACAAAACAGAGCCUGCCAUUUCCAAGUAUUGAUAAAGGAAAGAACCAGCAUUUUGUCAAAGGUCAAAAAUUUUCCUUGACAUGCACUGUCCUUGACCGUAGUCUGAAUUUUACAUGGACAUACCCAAAUACAAGAGUUACACAUAAUUGGACCAGUUCGACUACUAAAAAGGGCAAUGUUGUAUACUACAACAACAUUCUGAAGGUAUUAAAUGCCUCAGAAAGUGACACUGGUCGCUACACUUGCAGCAUCAGCUCUAAAGGCUUUUUACCAAGCUCUGCUUCUGUUAAUAUUACAGUCUUAGAGAGUAUGGAUUCUUUUCUUAACAUCAUAAGUGCUGAUACAAUUAAAGCACAUGAAGGGCAGAAAGAUGCAUUUAAGUGGAAGACUACUGUACAGUCCUACCCAACUUUACCUGACAUCAGAUACACUAAUUGGAGAGGUCAAGUGUUGAAUAAGACAGAAAAGAUUGAUAUUGAUUAUGAUGAACCACAAGGAUUAUCAUGGCUCUAUAUAAAAAACAUAUCUAGCUCAGAUUUUGGAAAUUAUUCCAUCACAGUAACUGUCACUGAUAAAGAAAUUGAAAAAUCUGCCUCAGCCACUGUGAGGUUAGAAGUCAGCAGUCCUCCCCAUAUGAAGAUGACAGGUGUAGGUGAUCUUGAGUAUGUUUCUGAAGGGCAGGAAUUUAAUGUUACCUGCCAGGCUCAAGGCUUCCCAGAUGUUGACGUUACUUUGCUGUUUCAAAACUGUUCCAGUACAAAACUGUCCUCCUGCUCAUCCCCCACCACCAUUGAGACUGAGGAAAUUAAUGUGCUUGCUCCAGGCAACAUUUUUGAGAAAUCAGCUGUUUUUUCUCCCAACACAUCAGGAUAUUUGCAGUGCCAUGGUGAGAAUAAGAAUGGAUCUCAUAAUGAAUCAUUUCUCCUCAAAAUGUCUGAUAUUGCUGGUAUCUUUGUUCUGCGUUAUUAUGGAGCGGAUGGGAAAUUUAAAGAUAUUAACCAUGAGGAAACCAUCACUGUUGUGAAAAACGAUAAUUUCACCUUGAUGUGUGGUGGUGCUAAGUAUGAUUACAAGAUGGUUGAGGUCAAUUCUAGUCAACCGACAGGUUCCAAUAUUCAGUUUCAAAGCAAUGAUUCAGAAUUCUCAUGGCGGAAAGAGAAAGAAGUUAGAAAGGCAACAGAGUCUCUCACAGGACGUUAUGACUGCUAUGCUCAUCCUCACGAAGACAAGUCCCCAGAUGUCAAGAGUUUCAACAUCGCUGUAGUCCCGGAAGAGCGAGUGGUCUUUGAGGAGGAAACAAAUAUGAAGGACCAAAUAGAGGUGGUGAAGGAUGAUGAGCCUUUCAGCCUGAAGUGUCUAGUCAGAGGCAGUCCACAACCAACCAUCCGGUGGCUGAAGGAUAACAAGGAACUCACCAAUGAGUCAGGGCUGUUUGAUGAGAAGGCAAUGAAAUUCAGCUCUAACUACAUGGAACUGAAUUUUAGCCAUGUGGGCACAAAACACACAGGAGUGUACACCUGCAUUGCUAACAAUCGCUUGAAUGAAGUGAGAGGGUCCCUUACUCUGCAAAAAGCACCUCCAGGUUUGAACCAGACUGGCAGGCUGAUUCUGGCUAUAUCCGUAGUGGGCUUAGCCAUCUUUGGUAUUAUUAUUGGAUUUCUCAUACAUCGAGUGAGGAAAGAGCAGGAGAUAAAUAACCCCUAUAGAAUGCGUGCAAAAGAAUUCUUUGAAAAUGGCAAUGUUGGAUCGCUGAAUCUCACCUCUACAGCUGACAAGCAAGCGGAGAUGUUGCCUUAUGAUAAGAAGAAGUGGGAGGUACCCCUUGCAAACAUCACCUUUGGAAGGCAGCUGGGCUCGGGUGCCUUUGGGCGAGUAAUAAAGGCAACAGUAACAGGUCUGCAGGGCCCAGCCACCACCACUGUUGCCAUCAAGACAUGUAAAAAUGAUGUCGAUGCUGCACAAAAGGCUAUUAUUUCGGAGCUCAAGAUAAUGAUGCAUCUUGGAGCUCAUCUCAACAUAGUCAAUCUGCUGGGAGCCAACACAGAGCAUCUUUUAGGAGGAGAGAUGUUGAUCUUGGUCGAGUACUGCCGCUUUGGUAACCUCCUUGAAUUCAUGCAGAAACGGCGCCAACACUUUACAAAUCUGAUAUCUCCAGUAACUGGCAAGAUUGAUCCCAACCUAAUCCCAAACUCCCCUACGUCACCUUCUUUCAGUGAAAGUGUACCACCAUCUCUUGAUCAAGAUGGAUACCUAGCUCCAGCUGCCAAGCCAUUUGUACUUUCUGACCCUCCAGAGGGCCAUUCUGCUGGGACUGUCCCUUCCUCAAAUAGCUCCACGUCUCAAGUGGCUGCUGGACAGUUUGCUAGUAACCCUAUGUAUAGUAUGAACAUAAAACCUGCAACUGAAUAUCCAAGGAAAGAAUCCAGAGGUAGUGAAGACCAUAGAAGUUCAGUGUUUUUCAAACGUAAAGUCUCAAGACUCAACAGCAUUGGUUCCAUUACAUUUUCUGAUGGUAGCUCAGUCAGCUAUCCACUGAGAAACAGACGUACCUCUCAACAAUUUUGCCACUCGGCCUUAUCCCCAACAGAUACUUGUUUCAUGGGAGGAAACGACCUAGAUAUUUUAUAUGAAAUUGGUAGUGUGCCGGGCAUCACUGCACCUUUCUCUACUAUUGAUCUCAUCUGUUGGGGAUGGCAGAUGGCUGAAGGCAUGAAUUACCUGUCCAGAAGAAAGAUUCUGCAUGGGGAUUUGGCUGCCCGCAAUCUUCUCCUAAGUGACAACAAUGUUUUGAAGAUCAGCGAUUUUGGUCUGUCUCGCAGCAUGUAUAGAAAUGAUAACUAUGUGAAGAAAGGAGAUGACUUACUGCCCAUCAAGUGGAUGUCAUUAGAAGCCAUUCGUGACAAAAUCUUCAGUAUAGAGAGUGAUGUGUGGGCAUUUGGUAUCACCUUGUGGGAAAUAUUUUCCCUGGGCUGCUCUCCAUAUGCAGCUACAAUAUUAUGAAGCUGUGCUGGGAAGAAGACCCUUUGAAGCGGCCAUCCUUCAUUGAGCUUGUGGAUGACUUAGGGAACAUGAUUUCAGAACACACAGAGAGAUACUUGACCCAGAAUGAAGCUUACAUGAAGAUGAACUCAGAAAGAUUCAAGGAGGAGACAGAUUAUCUCAGCAUGAUGGCUGAGCCCACCUUUGAAAGCAGGAUGAGGCCCGACGAUAUUGAUGUUGAACACUGUCUUC